UACGUAGGGUGCGAGCGUUGUCCGGAAUUAUUGGGCGUAAAGAGCUCGUAGGCGGUUUGUCGCGUCGAAUGUGAAAACCCGGGGCUCAACCCCGGGCCUGCAUUCGAUACGGGCAGACUAGAGUUCGGUAGGGGAGUCUGGAAUUCCUGGUGUAGCGGUGAAAUGCGCAGAUAUCAGGAGGAACACCGGUGGCGAAGGCGGGACUCUGGGCCGAUACUGACGCUGAGGAGCGAAAGCGUGGGGAUCAAACAGG
rnacentral:rRNA from 1 species